rnacentral:tmRNA from 1 species
GGGGGCGACCGGAUUCGACUGGGUCACCGCAAGCGAUGGUGGCGUGUCGUGGUUGAUCAGUUGGCCACGUUAAAAGCUGAUCAAACAACAACUGCCAAUACUGGCACCUAUGCUUUGGCCGCCUAGUAAUAGGCGUCCGUGACUGCGGAAGCCCCGCCGGAGGCGUCCAAAAGUCACUCGCCAAUUCCGGCUGGUCCCGGGUCAACGGACCCUACGCCCGG